GCUUCUCCCCACCCUUGCAGGGAAAUCCCAAGCACCUUGGGGUAUUCAGGGAACUACAGACCAGUCAGUCUCACAUUAGUCCCUGGAAAAAUCAUGAGCAGAUCCUCAAGGAAUCCAUUUCUAAGCACUUGGAGGAGAAAAACGGUAAUUAGGAUCAAUUAGCAUGGAUUCACCAGGGGCAAGUCAUGCUUGACCGACUGGAUUGCCUUCUAUGAUGAAGUGAUUGGCUCUGUGGCUGUGGGGAGACCAGUGGAUGUGGUGUACCUUGAUUUUAGCAAGGCUUUUGAUAUGGCCUCCCAUACCAUUCUUCCAGGCAAGCUAAUGACGUAUGGGCUGGAUGAAUGGACUGUAAGGUGGAUAGAAAACUGGCUGCAGCAUCAGGCUCAGACAGUAGUAAUCAAUGGCUUGAUGUCUAGCUGGCAGCUGGUAUCAAGUGGAAUGCCCCAGUGAGUUGGUCCUGGGACUAGUUUUGUUCAAUACCUUCAUCAGAAACAUAUAAAAUAGCAUACAGUGCACUCUCAGCAAGUUUGCAGAUGACACCAAGCUGGGCGGAGUAGUAGAUAUGCUGGAGAGUAGGGCUAAGAUUCAGAGUGACCUAGAUAAAUUGGAGGAAUAGGCCAAAAGGAAUCUCAUGAGGUUCAACAAGGACAAGUGCAAAGUCCUGCACUUAGGAUGGAACAACCACAUGCACCAGUUCAGGCUGGGGGUUGACUGGCUGGGAAGGCAGCCUGAAAAAAAAGGCCUGGUAGUUACAGUGGAUGAUAAGCUGAAUAUGAGCCAGGAGUACCCUUGUUGCAAAGAAGGCUAACAGCAUAAUGGGCUGCACUGCUGAUGUGUUGCCUUUAGGUCAAGGGAAGUGAUUAUUCCCCUAUACUCAGCACUGGUGAGGCCACAUCUGGAGUGCUGUGUUCAGUUUUGGGCCACCCAUUACAGAAAGGAUGUGCACAUAGUGGUCCUGACGUGCAAAUCAGUCAUCCAACCUGGGUAUAGAGGCGAAAGACUAAUCCAACCAUCUAGUAGCUGGUUUCUUCCAAAGUUUCCCUCAGGAUAGCUGGCACUCAUCCAUCUCUGAAGUUUUAUCUUGUAAAGCAAAUGAUUAGAGGUCUUGGGGCUGAAACGAUCUCAACCUGUUCUCAAAGUUUAAAUGGUUAAGAAGCCCAGCUCACUGACGUUCAGCCGGACAUGGAAUGUGAGUGCGUAGUGGGCCACUUCUGGUAAGCAGAACUGGCUCUGUGGGAUGAACCGAAUGCUGGGUUAAGGUGCCUGGUGCUGAUGCUUAUCAGACCCCAGAAAAGGUGUUGGUUGAUAUAGAAAGCAGGACGGUGGCCAUGGAUGUUGGAAUCUGCUAAGGAGUGUGUAACAACUCACCUGCUGAAUCAACUAGCCCUGAAAAUGGAUGGUGCUGGAGCAUCGGGCCCAUACCCAGCCAUCACCAGAAAUGAGAUCUGCAGGGGCUAGGUGGCGAUGAGUAGGAGGGCCACUGCGGUGGGCCUUGAAGCCUAGGGCACGGGCCUGGGUGGAGCCACCACAGGUGCAGAUCUUGGUGGUAGUAGCAAAUAUUCAAAUGAGAAUUUUGAAGGCCGAAGUGGAGAAGGUUUCCAUGUGAACAGCAGUUGAACAUAGGUCAGUCGGUCCUAAAAGAUAGGCGAGUACCAUUCCAAAGGGACAGGCGAUGGCCUCCAUUGCCCUCAGCUGAUUGAAAAGGAAUUGGGUUCAGAUCCCCGAAUCCAGAGUGGUGGAGACAGGCACCGCGAGGCGUCCAGUGCAGUAACGCAACCGAUCCUGGAGAAGUGGGCAGGAGCCCUGGGGAGAUUUUUCUUUUCUUUGUGAAAGGCAGGGAGCCCUGGAAUGGGUUUGCCCUGAGAGAGGGGCCCAAGCCUUGGAAAGCAUCAUGGUGAGCUCUUGCUGGUCCUUGAAAAUCUGGGAGAGAAGGUGUAAAUCUCACACUGGGCCAUACCUAUAUCCGCAGCAGGUCUCCAAGGUGAUCAGUCUCUGGCAUGUAAGAACAAUGUAGGUAAGGGAAGUUGGCAAGCCGUAUCUGUAACUUCAGAAUAAGGAUUGGCUCUAAGGGCUGGGUUGGUUGAGCUGGGUUGCGAAGUGGGGUUAUGUGCAAGCCACAGCUGGAAGAGGUACCUACCCCGCCUCCCAGGGGGGUGGUAGUGACUCUGGACACAAGCCAGGCCCUUCCUGUGAAUCGCCCCAUCUGCGGUGGGCAUUGCCCACCUCUCCUCCUCCAUGGGGAUGGGGGGGUUGGUGUCCUGCCUCAGCCAGUGCCUAGCAGCUGACUUUGAAUUGUCAUGGACCAGGGGAAUCUGACUGUUUAAUUAAAACAAAGCAUCGUGAAGGCAGUUGUUGAUGUAAUGUGAUUUCUGCCCAGUGCUAUGAAUGUCAAAGUGAAGAAAUUCAAUGAAGCACAGGUAAAGGGCAGGAGUAACUAUGACUCUCUUAAGAAGGCAUCUCCUUUAAGGGCAACACUCUGGUUACAUGGUCAUAGCAGGUUUGUGCCAGGUAUCUCCACGUGGUUCUCACUGGGUGCCACAGGCCCAGAUAUGUCGGUAGCUUGAUCCUGGCACAAUACUGCUGGUGCUUCCUUGCUAUUGAGUGCCUUGCAAACAUUUGACAGCCCCCAUCACUUCAUUGCAAAAAACACAAUGUCCUCAAUGGACGAGCAGCUAGACAGCCCCACUACUGGCCAAAACUGUUCACCACACAGUUAUCAGAUGGUGUCUGUGCCGACCUGUGGCCCCAUGGGUCUGGUGGUACAGGAAAGGCCAGCUCACAGCCGUGCCAGACAGGGGGGCCUUGCUUAUGAGGCCCCCACACUGAUGGCAGCCGGUGCCCCACGGUGGCCACCUGCAGACCCAGGACACGGGCCUUGAAGCCCACUCCCACCCCAGAGAGUUCCCACUCAGAGGCCACUAGGUCAGCGCCAUCCAGGGAGGGCCAUGGCCUUGGUUGUGAGUGCCCCUCGGUGCAGAGGCCCGAGGCUGAUACCACCACCCUUGGUGAGAGUGCGCCCACCAGGGAGGGUGAACCACCCUCCGCCAGGGUUUUCCUGGUGAGGCUGCCUGAUUUGCAGGGCCCAUGCGGACCUCCGUGUCUGAUUUGCAGGGACCAUGCAGGUAAACCCUCUGUGCUGGCUCUCCACUGUGCGGCGGACCAUGCAUGGGCAGAUGUGCAAUACCAGUGCACCCAUUGCAACAGGGUCAGUGCUAACAAGCACAGCAUCCUCUACCACAUCC
rnacentral:rRNA from 1 species